UUCCGGUUGAUCCUGCCGGACCUGACUGCUAUCGGAUUGAUACUAAGCCAUGCGAGUCAUUGUAGCAAUACAAGGCAGACGGCUCAGUAACGCGUAGUCAACCUACCUUAUGGACGGGGAUAACCUCGGGAAACUGAGAAUAAUACCCGAUAGAACAUGAUGCCUGGAAUGGUUUAUGUUUCAAAUAAUUUAUUGCCGUAAGAUGGGACUGCGGCCUAUCAGUUUGUUGGUGAGGUAAUGGCCCACCAAGACUAUUACAGGUACGGGCUCUGAGAGGAGUAGCCCGGAGAUGGGUACUGAGACACGGACCCAGGCCCUAUGGGGCGCAGCAGGCGAGAAAACUUUGCAAUGUGCGAAAGCACGACAAGGUUAAUCCGAGUGGUUUCUGCUAAAGGAACCUUUUGUCAGUCCUAGAAACACUAACGAAUAAGGGGUGGGCAAGUUCUGGUGUCAGCCGCCGCGGUAAAACCAGCACCUCAAGUGGUCAGGAUGAUUAUUGGGCCUAAAGCAUCCGUAGCCUGCUUUGUAAGUUUUCGGUUAAAUCCAUACGCUCAACGUAUGGGCUGCCGGGAAUACUGCAAAGCUAGGGAGUGGGAGAGGUAGACGGUACUCGGUAGGAAGGGGUAAAAUCCUUUGAUCUAUUGAUGACCACCUGAGGCGAAGGCGGUCUACCAGAACACGUCCGACGGUGAGGGAUGAAAGCUGGGGGAGCAAACCGGAUUAGAUACCCGGGUAGUCCCAGCUGUAAACUAUGCAAACUCGGUGAUGCAUUGGCUUGAUGCCAAUGCAGUGCCGCAGGGAAGCCGUUAAGUUUGCCGCCUGGGAAGUACGUACGCAAGUAUGAAACUUAAAGGAAUUGGCGGGGGAGCACCACAAGGGGUGAAGCCUGCGGUUCAAUUGGAGUCAACGCCGGG
rnacentral:rRNA from 1 species